rnacentral:tRNA from 1 species
GAGGGUGUAGCUCAGCGGUAGCGCACAUGCUUAGCAUGCGCGAGGUCCUGGGUUCAAUCCCCAGUACUUCCA